UCUUCUUGUUGGAACCAAAUCCAUCUCCAGGUCUCCUGGUCCUCCUGAAGAGUUGAGAUCUCCUCUUCAGAGUGAUGAAGAAGUUGACUUUAAAUCAAACU